rnacentral:lncRNA from 1 species
CACACACAUCCACACAAGACCGUACUAAACGUGUGGUUGUUCCGUAGGGCGACCCUGGAGGAUCACUGGCAGGCGAUAGAGGCGACGAUGGUGAGCAAGGACAACCUGGCCCACAAGGACCAGAAGAAGUCAUAGAAUUCCCUCCAGAAUUUCUCCCGCCCAAAGGUCUCAAGGGGGAGCAAGGCCCUCCUGGACCGUGUGGACCGAAGGGCAUAAAUGUAAGAGUGCACAUCCUGUCUGUUAGAAUACAGGUAUGUCUGUGAGUAACAGAAGUGUGUCUGAUUUGCAUUUUCUUCCUCAUCAGGGUGGCAGAGGAGACUACAGUCAUGUUAUCAAAGGAGAGCAAGGAAUCCUUGGUUUUCCUGGAAAUCGAGUAGGUGACUUAAAUCAGACUGCGUCAUGCUGACAAACGCGUACGGACGCAUGUUUCCAUAGUGUCCAAUCCAAGUGUUUCCAUUUCUAGGGUCUCUCAGGAUUUCCUGGUAGAGAUGGAACGCCAGGAGCAGAGGUACGCCUGUGAUAUGAUUCAGCUGUCCUUGACGUUACUACACCUUUAUGUUAAACGCACUGAUGUAUUUUCAGGGUCUCCGUGGAGAGAAAGGACUUCCAGGUCUCAUUGGAAUAACUGGACCAAAGGGUUACGAAGGAGAUCCAGGUCCCCCCGGUCCUGUGGAAUAUCUUAAUGGAGGUGGUGUCAGAGGUGCUAAAGGUGACCGUGGGUUUCCUGGAACGCCUGGAGUCCCAGGUGACCCUGGGCUCAUGGGCAUGCAUGGACCGCCUGGCGCACCAGGAUUGAUAACAUCAGAGGAGCCGGGUCGGCCUGGUCCACCAGGGCCACCUGGUCCCAAGGGCUACAAGGGAGAGCCAGGAGGGUAUGGUGACUAUGAAUUCAGUCCGUUUCCGGGACCAAAAGGACCCAAAGGACACAUUGGACCUAAAGGUCUCCAAGGACCCCCAGGUCGUCCAGGUAUGUCAGUUCUCACUUCAUAUUAAACACAAAAGAUUUUCAUAUAUGUGAUCGUCACAAAUGUAACUCUUGCUUGCUUGUCAUGUGUUUUUUGCAA